rnacentral:rRNA from 1 species
AAACGACUCUCGGCAACGGAUAUCUCGGCUCACGCAUCGAUGAAGAACGUAGCAAAAUGCGAUACUUGGUGUGAAUUGCAGAAUCCCGUGAACCAUCGAGUUUUUGAACGCAAGUUGCGCCCAAAGCCAUUCGGCCAAGGGCACGUCUGCCUGGGCGUCACGCA